rnacentral:rRNA from 1 species
GUGGGGAAUUUUGGACAAUGGGGGCAACCCUGAUCCAGCCAUUCCGCGUGAGUGAAGAAGGCCUUCGGGUUGUAAAGCUCUUUUGUCCGGAGCGAAACGGGUAGUCCUAAUACGGCUGCCUACUGACGGUACCGGAAGAAUAAGCACCGGCUAACUACGUGCCAGCAGCCGCGGUAAUACGUAGGGUGCGAGCGUUAAUCGGAAUUACUGGGCGUAAAGCGUGCGCAGGCGGUUUUGUAAGCCAGAUGUGAAAUCCCCGGGCUCAACCUGGGAAUGGCAUUUGGGACUGCAAGGCUGGAGUGUGGCAGAGGGGACUAGAAUUCCUGGUGUAGCAGUGAAAUGCGUAGAUAUCAGGAGGAAUACCGAUGGCGAAGGCAGGUCCCUGGGCUAACACUGACGCUCAUGCACGAAAGCGUGGGGAGCAAACAGGAUUAGAAACCCGAGUAGUCC